CAAGAUACCUAAAUCAGGCUAAAUUCCUAAUAAUAUGUAAUUAACAAGUUCCAGAUCCAGAUUUCCAAAGCCUUUUCUUUAUCCAAAGUGUUUCAAAGUUCCAAGGAAUCUCAAAGGUUCCUGACAUUGCUUACACUCAGGAUACUAUUUUAGAAUUAGAAUAGUUCAGUGUGGAAUAGCCAACCCUCAUGCAUCCAUGUUUAGUACGAGCUCCAUGGUCCCAAAGCCUGGCUUUCAAGAGAGGAUAAGAACUUAGAACUAGGAAUAAGUGCAAAGUGAUUGGGGAACCAUAACAAAUGGUGGUCAUGCGCAGCCACAAGUGCAGGCUGGCACACCCUUGAUCACUUGUUUAGGUUAAACAAGUUAGUAGCUGACCUUGAAGGUCAAACCUAAGUCUGGAUAGUGAUCAGAACACUAUCAGACCUAAGUCAAGGCUCAAACAGAAAAUAGGGGAAAAGGGAAGUGGGUAUUGAUUGAGUUAAGGAGUUCAAAGAACCCAGUUCAGGGCCAUAGACAGCAGUAGUGCUGCUAUAGCUAGAACUACAACUCAUAUACAAAAGGGAAAAGGGAAAGGGAGUUCACAUAAGGAAAGCACAACAAGAUUGCAUAAACAUAGUAAAAAAAACAUAGCAAACUAGAAAGUAAACACAUUGUGAAGAAGCAUUAUAUAACUAAGAAUAACGUACCAGCUACACAGUAAGAACAAGCUAAACAAUAGAGCAAUCAUGGCAAGUAAACACAGCAGGAGUAGACUUAAGUUCAGCAUAACACUUGAGAGUUUAGAGAGAGCUAAAAAUUGUUUCAGAAAGCACAAAGUAGAGAAGAGGGUAGAUUUUUUUGUGAAAGAACUCAGUAUUCAAGUGUGUAAAAGCCUAUGUUUUUGUGCAGAAAAGUCUGUGAAAAUCUUGUCCUUUAGUGCAAAAGGGCUUGCCUUUUUAUAGUGCUGAAGAUGAGUAAGAACAUGGUAAGAGAAUAGCUUUUGAAAUCAAUCACAAGUUGUUUCCCUUUGGCUAAGGAAUUUGGUUCAAACGGGCAAAAUAAAUAAGGAAAGGAUUAGUUUUAAAAUCUUUUCAAAAGUAGUGUAAUAGGGAAAUACACAUAUUUUUAUUUAAGGAAAUAUUCUAGUAGCACACGGUUUGGGAGGAACAAGGAAAGACAAUCAAUCAACAGCCAGUAAAAUCAUGAUUCAAAUCUUAGUGUGAAUGAAUCCAACCACAAAAAUGUGAGAAGAGGUUUAAUUUAAAGAAAAUAAAAAACAAACAAUCAAAUUUGGAAUUAAUCACAAGUUGGCCAAAUGCCUUUUGAAAGAAGAGAGUUUGUCGUAUAAUAAGCAUACAGACAUGGGAUACAAGAGAGAGAGUUGUCGUAAAACUAGAAAGAAAUUAAGGUAACCAAGAAAGUUAGGUUCAUAGACUCAGAAUGAGUCUGAGAGAGAGUCAAUGGUUCUGAAUGGAACCCUAGUCCACACACAACAUCAACCUCAACCAAAAUCCCCUCAAACACUAGGUUUUCUAACUCGAAUCAGAUGCUAAGAUGAGAAAACAAUAAAAAUAACAGGUUCAGUAGUCUCUUUCAAAGACUCAUGAGAAAACAAACAGAGAGAAUAACAAGUUUAAAACAUAGGGGAAUAUACUUAGGCAAAGCUUGUCACUCAAACAAGCUCAGAAAAGAAAAAGUGAUACAGGUUUAGGAAAAUAGUAUAUGAAACAUGUGUAGGGUUGAAACAAAGUCCAGUAAUGGAAAGCAAGGAGCAAAAGCUUAGUAAUAAUAAAGUACAGGGACAUACGAAAUAGACAUGUAAAGCACGUUUAUAGAACUCAGUAGGGAAGAAAAGAACAAAAAAAAUAGAAGAACAUGCAUCAUAUGGAAAACAUAAGAACACAAGAGAAAAACUCAUAAGAACAUGGUACAGACAGAUUCACACAAAGAAAAGAAGAAGAAAAGGUGUCAGAAUUUAUUUUGAGAUUUUUUGAAAACUCUAAAUUGAAAGCAAACUGAUUUUGAAAAGAAAAUUGGGGAAAAGCUUUAAAACGUUAAAUAUAGCACAAAUUCACCACAUAUCUAAGUGAAUAAAAAGGGAAGGAACCUCAAAUAGCUUUAGGGUUUCUCUGAAACCCUAGAUAUGAGAAGGCUCGGAAGAGGUCUGGUCUUAAGUCAGAGAUGGCCAUGGCUAGGCUUCUAAAGCUCGAAUACAUUGAAGCAAGGCUGGAGAGGCCAUAGAACAACACAUCUGAGAAUAUCUGAACAAACACCAUCAAGGUCAGACCUCAAAAUCUCAAUCACCCAUGGCUUAGGAGUGAAGGAAGGUGAGCACAGGUUAUUCACGACCUAAAAAUCCGCGGACUCCGGCGAGAUAAUGAGUGGAGAAGACGAGGUAGGAGAUUAGGGUUUGGUGUGUUUGAGAGAGUUUUGAGAGAGAAGAGAGUUUGAAGUCAG
rnacentral:lncRNA from 1 species